ACCCUAAAUCAUCUCCAUCCUUCUUAUACAAAGCUUCCAUUUUUCCCACACAAUCUCAGAUUUCUUUCCUCACUAUCUCGGUUAUGGUUCAAAACUCCAUCUCCGACACCAACAUUGUCUUUCGACAUUAAAUCCGGUAAGCAUCGGGUCUGAUUCAUCGGGCCUAACCGUAGCUGCAAGCUUGAAACGUGAAGAGGUGUCGUUAAUAAUCCUCGAGAGAGCUUACUACAUUUCUUUUCUAUAGCAAAACAUAGCCUACGAUCGCCUAAACAAAACUCCAUCUCCCUAAACAUUUUUGCCAAUUUCCCAAUCUCCCUUUUCCCGGGGAACUUCCCCGAGUACCCUAUCAAGUAGCAGGUUAUUCAAUACCUUUAGUCCUACACAACCAACUACGAUACCAACCUUAAGUUCCACGAGACGCUCCAGCCACCGACAUACGAUGAGAAUGCAGGUGGCUUGUGGUGGCUUCGGGAGAGAAAGCUUACCUCUCAAUCUCUACACUCACACAGGGAAACCAUCAAUGGUUUAGCUCUAAACAAAGCACUUCCUUGGUAAACAACACAUGAACCUGGUGAUACGUCUUUUCGUAUUUCGGUGAGUGGACUGUUCCGUUGAGCUUGGGGUUGAUAUCGAAGAUGGUUGCGUAGGACUCAAGGUAUUGAAUAAACUGAAACUUGAUAGGAUACUUGGGGAAAUUCUUAGGGAGGGGAAAGUUGGGUAAUUGGCAAUGUUUAGGGAGAUGGAGUUUGAGGCUAUCGUAGGUUCUGUUUUGCCAUAGAGAAGCAAUGCAGUUAGCUCGCUGGAGGAUUAUGAAUGGGUACUCCUUCGCGUUUUACCAUGCAGACACGGCUGGGCCCGAUGGGCCAGCUCCGAGAUUGUGGUGAUCUAUCCUCUGUAACUUUUGUUUUUUUGUCAACAUGUUUGAUAAAAUGUUUGCAUGAACAAAAAAAUGAAGGAAAAAGUCAAAAUUGACAUUACCUGGGGUAAGUUUCUAUCUACAAGUGUUUUUAAAAAUUGUGACAUUCAUAAAUGUUUACAUGACAAUUGUCCAUUCAAUAUAUGAGUUACAUUUUUUUAUGA